rnacentral:rRNA from 1 species
UACGUAGGCAGCAAGCGUUGUUCGGAGUUACUGGGCGUAAAGGGUGCGUAGGCGGCUUUUUAAGUUUGGUGUGAAAUCUCCCGGCUCAACUGGGAGGGUGCGCCGAAUACUGAGAGGCUAGAGUGUGGGAGAGGAAAGUGGAAUUCCUGGUGUAGCGGUGAAAUGCGUAGCUAUCAGGAGGAACACCGGUGGUGUAAACGGCUUUCUGGACCAUAACUGACGCUGAGGCACGAAAGCGUGGGUAGCAAACAGG